GGAUGUGAGGGCAACUGGCUGUGACGUCUGUCGCCCCAUUGAUCAUCAGGGUUGAUUUGGCUGAUCUGGCUGGAUAGGUGAGUGUCCCCUUCUUCCCUCACUGUUCCAUGUGUGCCCUUCUUGAUGCUGCAUGCUCAGUUGAAGAGGACAGCCUUCCUGGAAUAGACAGACCGUACUUUGGUCGAAGGUAUAUGAGUAGCUGUGCUCCCCUUCUAGAACCUCCAAAAAAGCUCUCAAGAAUAGAAGGGGAAACACAAAGUAGAACUUGUACUGCAUUUGAUGUGUUGCUCCAA
rnacentral:snRNA from 1 species